AUGUCACGGACGGCAAGAUUGGACGGAUGGCACUUGUCAAUCCCGUUUUCCGGUGAUGCCUGUUGUAGGUGCAACUGUUGGACUAGUCGUCUUUGUGAUUGCUAUAGCCUGCGCAUGCAUGAUCCAAGAGAGAAGAAAGCUACACAAGAUGAAGCGGGAGACUUUCGGCAGCACGGUGGUCUGAUAUUAUUUGAUGAGAUGAGGUCAAAGCAAGGUAUUACAUUCAAAAUCUUCACGGAAGAAGAACUGCAGCAAGCCACAAACAAGUUCAGCGAACAACAAGUACUAGGUCAAGGGGGCUAUGGGACUGUGUACAAGGGACUUCUCAAGGGCGACGUGGAAGUAGCUGACAAGAGAUGCAAGACGGUUGAUGAGCAACAGAAGAAAGAAUUCGGAAAAGAGAUGUUAAUCCUGUCCCAGGUCAACCAUAGAAACAUUGUGAAGCUCCUCGGGUGUUGCCUCAAAGUGGAAGUCCCUAUGCUGGUAUACUAG
rnacentral:rRNA from 1 species